rnacentral:rRNA from 2 species
UUUGGUUAAGUUAGAAAGGGCGCACGGUGGAUGCCUUGACACUAGGAGUCGAUGAAGGACGGGACUAACGCCGAUAUGCUUCGGGGAGCUGUAAGUAAGCUUUGAUCCGAAGAUUUCCGAAUGGGGAAACCCACCAUACGUAAUGGUAUGGUAUCCUUAUCUGAAUACAUAGGGUAAGGAAGACAGACCCAGGGAACUGAAACAUCUAAGUACCUGGAGGAAGAGAAAGCAAAUGCGAUUUCCUGAGUAGCGGCGAGCGAAACGGAACAUAGCCCAAACCAAGAGGCUUGCCUCUUGGGGUUGUAGGACAUUCUAUACGGAGUUACAAAGGAACGAGGUAGACGAAGCGACCUGGAAAGGUCCGUCGUAGAGGGUAACAACCCCGUAGUCGAAACUUCGUUCUCUCUUGAAUGUAUCCUGAGUACGGCGGAACACGUGAAAUUCCGUCGGAAUCUGGGAGGACCAUCUCCCAAGGCUAAAUACUCCCUAGUGAUCGAUAGUGAACCAGUACCGUGAGGGAAAGGUGAAAAGCACCCCGGAAGGGGAGUGAAAGAGAUCCUGAAACCGUGUGCCUACAAAUAGUCAGAGCCCGUUAACGGGUGAUGGCGUGCCUUUUGUAGAAUGAACCGGCGAGUUACGAUCCCGUGCGAGGUUAAGCUGAAGAGGCGGAGCCACAGCGAAAGCGAGUCUGAAUAGGGCGUUUAGUACGUGGUCGUAGACCCGAAACCAGGUGAUCUACCCAUGUCCAGGGUGAAGUUCAGGUAACACUGAAUGGAGGCCCGAACCCACGCACGUUGAAAAGUGCGGGGAUGAGGUGUGGGUAGCGGAGAAAUUCCAAUCGAACCUGGAGAUAGCUGGUUCUCCCCGAAAUAGCUUUAGGGCUAGCCUUAAGUGUAAGAGUCUUGGAGGUAGAGCACUGAUUGGACUAGGGGUCCUCAUCGGAUUACCGAAUUCAGUCAAACUCCGAAUGCCAAUGACUUAUCCUUAGGAGUCAGACUGCGAGUGAUAAGAUCCGUAGUCAAAAGGGAAACAGCCCAGACCGCCAGCUAAGGUCCCAAAGUGUGUAUUAAGUGGAAAAGGAUGUGGAGUUGCUUAGACAACUAGGAUGUUGGCUUAGAAGCAGCCACCAUUUAAAGAGUGCGUAAUAGCUCACUAGUCGAGUGACUCUGCGCCGAAAAUGUACCGGGGCUAAAUACACCACCGAAGCUGCGGAUUGAUACCAAUGGUAUCAGUGGUAGGGGAGCGUUCUAAGGACAGUGAAGUCAGACCGGAAGGACUGGUGGAGUGCUUAGAAGUGAGAAUGCCGGUAUGAGUAGCGAAAGACGGGUGAGAAUCCCGUCCACCGAAUGCCUAAGGUUUCCUGAGGAAGGCUCGUCCGCUCAGGGUUAGUCAGGACCUAAGCCGAGGCCGACAGGCGUAGGCGAUGGACAACAGGUUGAUAUUCCUGUACCACCUCUUUAUCGUUUGAGCAAUGGAGGGACGCAGAAGGAUAGAAGAAGCGUGCGAUUGGUUGUGCACGUCCAAGCAGUUAGGCUGAUAAGUAGGCAAAUCCGCUUAUCGUAAAGGCUGAGCUGUGAUGGGGAAGCUCCUUAUGGAGCGAAGUCUUUGAUUCCCCGCUGCCAAGAAAAGCUUCUAGCGAGAUAAAAGGUGCCUGUACCGCAAACCGACACAGGUAGGCGAGGAGAGAAUCCUAAGGUGUGCGAGAGAACUCUGGUUAAGGAACUCGGCAAAAUGACCCCGUAACUUCGGGAGAAGGGGUGCUUUCUUAACGGAAAGCCGCAGUGAAUAGGCCCAAGCGACUGUUUAGCAAAAACACAGCUCUCUGCGAAGCCGUAAGGCGAAGUAUAGGGGGUGACACCUGCCCGGUGCUGGAAGGUUAAGGAGAGGGGUUAGCGUAAGCGAAGCUCUGAACUGAAGCCCCAGUAAACGGCGGCCGUAACUAUAACGGUCCUAAGGUAGCGAAAUUCCUUGUCGGGUAAGUUCCGACCCGCACGAAAGGUGUAACGAUUUGGGCACUGUCUCAACCAGAGACUCGGUGAAAUUAUAGUACCUGUGAAGAUGCAGGUUACCCGCGACAGGACGGAAAGACCCCGUGGAGCUUUACUGUAGCCUGAUAUUGAAUUUUGGUACAGUUUGUACAGGAUAGGCGGGAGCCUUUGAAACCGGAGCGCUAGCUUCGGUGGAGGCGCUGGUGGGAUACCGCCCUGACUGUAUUGAAAUUCUAACCUACGGGUCUUAUCGACCCGGGAGACAGUGUCAGGUGGGCAGUUUGACUGGGGCGGUCGCCUCCUAAAGUGUAACGGAGGCGCCCAAAGGUUCCCUCAGAAUGGUUGGAAAUCAUUCGUAGAGUGCAAAGGCAUAAGGGAGCUUGACUGCGAGACCUACAAGUCGAGCAGGGACGAAAGUCGGGCUUAGUGAUCCGGUGGUUCCGCAUGGAAGGGCCAUCGCUCAACGGAUAAAAGCUACCCCGGGGAUAACAGGCUUAUCUCCCCCAAGAGUCCACAUCGACGGGGAGGUUUGGCACCUCGAUGUCGGCUCAUCGCAUCCUGGGGCUGUAGUCGGUCCCAAGGGUUGGGCUGUUCGCCCAUUAAAGCGGUACGCGAGCUGGGUUCAGAACGUCGUGAGACAGUUCGGUCCCUAUCCGUCGUGGGCGUAGGAAAUUUGAGAGGAGCUGUCCUUAGUACGAGAGGACCGGGAUGGACGCACCGCUGGUGUACCAGUUGUUCUGCCAAGGGCAUAGCUGGGUAGCUAUGUGCGGAAGGGAUAAGUGCUGAAAGCAUCUAAGCAUGAAGCCCCCCUCAAGAUGAGAUUUCCCAUAGCGUAAGCUAGUAAGAUCCCUGAAAGAUGAUCAGGUUGAUAGGUUCGAGGUGGAAGCAUGGUGACAUGUGGAGCUGACGAAUACUAAUAGAUCGAGGACUUAACCAUAUAA